rnacentral:tRNA from 1 species
GAGAGAGUAGCUCAAUUAGGUAGAGUGUUGGUCUCCAAAACCAAAGGUUGUAGGUUCGAUUCCUAUCUCUCUUGC